UACGUAGGGCGCAAGCGUUAUCCGGAAUUAUUGAGCGUAAAGAGCUCGUAGGCGGUUUGUCGCGUCUGCCGUGAAAGUCCGGGGCUCAACUCCGGAUCUGCGGUGGGUACGGGCAGACUAGAGUGAUGUAGGGGAGACUGGAAUUCCUGGUGUAGCGGUGAAAUGCGCAGAUAUCAGGAGGAACACCGAUGGCGAAGGCAGGUCUCUGGGCAUUAACUGACGCUGAGGAGCGAAAGCAUGGGGAGCGAACAGG
rnacentral:rRNA from 1 species